CAUUACACAAAUAUGAAGCCGGACUGGGAUAGGGCCUCGCUGCCUUGCCCGUCUGGCGCCAUAUUCACCCAUGUCUUUUUGCGUACUACUUGUUUCCUUGGCGGGUCCGCCCGCCAAUUGGACCUUAUUCAAACCUUUUUUUCAGUUGCAAUCAGCGUCAGCAAAACAAAUGUAAUCAAUUACAACUUUCAACAACGGAUCUCUUGGUUCUGGCAUCGAUGAAGAACGCAGCGAAAUGCGAUAAGUAGUGUGAAUUGCAGAAUUCAGUGAAUCAUCGAAUCUUUGAACGCACAUUGCGCCCUUUGGUAUUCCAAAGGGCAUGCCUGUUCGAGCGUCAUUUGUACCCUCAAGCUUUGCUUGGUGUUGGGCGUCUUGUCUCUCUCCCGAGACUCGCCUUAAAAUCAUUGGCAGCCGGCCUACUGGUUUCGGAGCGCAGCACAUUAUUUGCGCUCUUGUCCAGCCGCGGUCGCGCGUCCAUGAAGCUUCUUUCAACCUUUUGACCUCGGAUCAGGUANGGAUACCCG
rnacentral:rRNA from 1 species